rnacentral:rRNA from 1 species
UACAGAGGUCCCAAGCGUUGUUCGGAUUCACUGGGCGUAAAGGGUGCGUAGGCGGUUUGAUAAGUCUGAUGUGAAAUCCCGCAGCUUAACUGCGGAACUGCAUUGGAAACUGUUUGACUAGAGGAAUGGAGGGGAGACUGGAAUACUUGGUGUAGCAGUGAAAUGCGUAGAUAUCAUGAAGAACACGGUGGCGAAGGCGGGAUACCUGGAAGAUUCCUGACUCGUGAACACGAAAGCCAGGGGAGCAAACGGG